GACGAACGCUGGCGGCGUGCUUAACACACGCAAGUCGAACGGAAAGGCCCUGCUUUUGUGGGGUGCUCGAGUGGCGAACGGGUGAGUAACACGUGAGUAACCUGCCCUUGACUUUGGGAUAACUUCAGGAAACUGGGGCUAAUACCGGAUAGGAGCUCCUGCUGCAUGGUGGGGGUUGGAAAGUUUCGGCGGCUGGGGAUGGACUCGCGGCUUAUCAGCUUGUUGGUGGGGUAGUGGCUUACCAAGGCUUUGACGGGUAGCCGGCCUGAGAGGGUGACCGGCCACAUUGGGACUGAGAUACGGCCCAGACUCCUACGGGGGGCAGCAGUGGGGAAUAUUGCACAAUGGGCGGAAGCCUGAUGCAGCAACGCCGCGUGCGGGAUGACGGCCUUCGGGUUGUAAACCGCUUUCGCCUGUGACGAAGCGUGAGUGACGGUAAUGGGUAAAGAAGCACCGGCUAACUACGUG
rnacentral:rRNA from 1 species